rnacentral:rRNA from 1 species
AACGAACGCUGGCGGCAUGCCUAACACAUGCAAGUCGAACGAGACCUUCGGGUCUAGUGGCGCACGGGUGCGUAACGCGUGGGAAUCUGCCCUUGGGUCCGGAAUAACUCAGAGAAAUUUGAGCUAAUACCGGAUGAUGACGUAAGUCCAAAGAUUUAUCGCCCAGGGAUGAGCCCGCGUAGGAUUAGCUAGUUGGUGAGGUAAAGGCUCACCAAGGCGACGAUCCUUAGCUGGUCUGAGAGGAUGAUCAGCCACACUGGGACUGAGACACGGCCCAGACUCCUACGGGAGGCAGCAGUGGGGAAUAUUGGACAAUGGGCGAAAGCCUGAUCCAGCAAUGCCGCGUGAGUGAUGAAGGCCUUAGGGUUGUAAAGCUCUUUUACCCGGGGAUGAUAAUGACAGUACCGGGAGAAUAAGCCCCGGCUAACUCCGUGCCAGCAGCCGCCGU